GCCUGCUUAGCUCAGUGGUAGAGCGUCCGUUUCAUAAGCUGAUGGUCACUGGUUCAAAUCUAGUAGCAGGCA
rnacentral:tRNA from 1 species